CUAAACGCUGAACGGACCAGACACGGCCGAAGACAAGAAGAUGAGUGUAUUGGUAACGGAAGCUUCGGAGUACCAUUCCAAAGACUUCAACUGGGAAACUCUGAGACAAGAAAUAGAAAACGACCCUUCUCUUAAUUACCAUCUUCUCCCUUUCCCUUCUCCACAACAAGAAGAACAACAUUCAAGAGAUUCAAUUAAAGCAUGGCAAAAUUUUCACAUUCAACACUCUUCUGGCAAGUUCUUCAAGGAAAGAAGGUACUUGUUGAAAGAAUUUCCGGAGCUGGUUUCUUGUGAAGAUGGUUGUAAGGUUUUGGAGGUUGGGUGCGGAAAUGGUAGUACUGCCCUUCCUAUAUUGCGUGGCAAUGAGAAAAUUAUUCUAUACGCAUGUGACUGUAGCAAUGAGACCCUGGAGAGGGCUAAAGAGUUUGUAGCUGCUAGUAAUGUAGUCUCAGUUGAGCAUCGUUUCCACCCAUUCUGUUGUGAUUUUGUGACAACUGGAUUCCCAAAGUGGUUGACAUGCGAUUAUUGCAGAGAAAUGUUUGCACUCAAGGGUCAAAAUUACCUUUCAGAUGUUAGAGAAAAAAGAACCCACGAAACUGAUAUAUGUUGUGUUGGUGGUGUGGACUUUAUUACCUUGAUAUUCACACUAUCAGCAGUGCCACUUCAAACAAUGCCAACAGCCAUCAGAGAGUGCUUUUCUGUCUUAAAACCUGGUGGCCUGCUCUUAUUUAGGGACUAUGGUCUCUAUGAUAUGACAAUGCUGCGUUUCGAACCAGAACAAAGAGUUGGGUUCAGGGAAUACAUGCGAUCAGAUGGCACUCGUUCUUACUUUUUCUCUCUGGAUGUUGUCAGAAAUCUCUUCAUUUGUGCUGGCUUCAUUGAGCUUGAGAUUGAAUAUUGUUGUGUCAAGUCAGUGAAUCGCCAAAAUGGGAAGAGCAUGAGAAGAGUAUGGGUUCACGCUUAUGGUGACAGAUUUUUGCUUAUCAGAAUAUCGACAGACUAACUUACCUAUACAAGUUUUGCAUUACUUUUGAUUCUUGGAACAAGCUGAAGGAAAUUGCCAAUGGACCUUGCUUAUCCCUGUGUAUGCCUGUUUUGGCUUUCAAUUUCAUCUGACCCUGCUAAUGGUGACAUUCAAUCAGAUCGUGGAGAACUCAAGAUGAAGUUAUUUGAACCUUCACAGUAUCAUGGAACUCAUACUACUUCUAACAGUUAAUUCAUAUGCCAAAUAUUACAAGUCCUCAGUCAAGCCAAAAUAAAUUUUAGGGCCUUGGACAUUUGUUAAUUGAAUUUUUAUAUCUGGAGUGUCAUAUCAAUAACUGCAACCUAGCAUAUGACAAGUCCUCUUGAACCUCUGUCAAUACAGAAGAGGUUUGUCAGUGCUAUAUUUAGUUGUUCAUUGAGCUUUUGGACAUUGGUUUUUCUCUUGUGUAUGCAUUUCUUCCAUUCAUAUGCGGUGUACUGCAUAGACACAUGCUAUCAUUCCGCUAUGCAGAUACGUGUCU